GACCAGGAUUGAGUUCCUUAUGAUCAGCUAUGUUCUUGGCCAGCUCCAGCCAUUGCAAGCAUUUUGGGAGUGAAGAAGCAGAUGGGAGUUUUCUCUCUCUCCCUCUGCCUCUAAGUAAGUUAUAUAACAUUUUUAAAAAUAAUUUUUAGGCUUAAUUAUAAAUCAAGAACAGCUGAAUAGGAAAAUACAAAGCAGCUAGAACAGAGUCAAAAUACUCAAACAAUCUGAGCAGAUGAAACAAAUCUGAAGUUAUAUUUGUCAUAUCCUGGUAAUUUCGAGAGAAGGGAUUUAACAGAGGUAGAUGUAAUCCUUUCACUUUCAGUCUGUAUGGAUCUUUGUUGGAAAGAUGUGUUUCUUGUAAGCAGCAAGCCAACUGCCAGCGACAGCCGGGUAUGGGCCCGACGCUCCAGCGCCAUCCAUUUUCAGGGCUAGUUGAUUUGGCAGCAAAAUUUCACCUUGGAAACCACUGCACGCUCUUCUCUUCAGCCUUCUAGUGUUCAGUUCUGAACAUUUAUUGCAGUUGUAUGCUGAAAGAGCUUCAAGCUGGGCCAGACUGCCUGGGAGAACUGAACAUGGACAGGAAAGAGUUGUUGGAGUUCCUUACUCUGCCAUUUUCACUGAAAAUCCAACAGGAGUUAAUCAUAAAGAAAGAAGAAGAGAACUCAACCAAGGAAAGCAGAGGAAGAUGCCCCAAGUGCUUGGGCCCAUGCACCCACAUGGAAAACCCAGAAGAAGCUCCCGUCUCCUGGUUUCAGGAUGAUGAACUUGAAAUUUUAGUCAAGAAAAUAAAACAAAAAAAUUAAGAGAUGCAAAGAUGUGAAGAAAGAAUCUACAUCACAUACAGGAAAUAUAAUCUACAGUAGACAAUUAGUGAAAUUUAUAAUUAUUGGAACGAAUUAAAGAAUCUGGUAGUAUGGUUAUAUAGAAAAUCUCCAUUUAAAAAGUAGAAAAAAGAAAAUCUAUUAUUAAAAAUGUGUAACAUUCAAAACAGCAAAUAGCCUGUACAGUGAUAUAAUGAAAUAUAAACAAGAUUUUCUAAUAGGACCAUCAAUUUGUUGAGGAAAAUAAAAGGAGACCUCAGUAAGUGAAGCAGUACGCAAUAGGAAUGCAUAGGAAGGGUCAUUGACAUAAAGAUGUCAAGCAGUCCACAAAUCCAGUGCCAUUCCUAUUAAAACCCUAAUAGCAUCUAUCCAUGCAAAUUGAAAAGCUGAUCUGUGCCUUCCUAAGAUAAAUUAAAGUCUUAGGAAUUGACAAGACAAUUUUGAAAGAGAAGAAUAAGAUGCAAUCAGACAUUUUAAACCUGUGGCAAUUCAAAUAGUCUGUCACUUGGUACAAGUGAAAACAUGUAGAUAACUGAAUCCAGACAUCAGAACGUGGCAGUGGCAGAGAUAUUUUAUCAGUAGGCUAAGUUCAUACCUUUAAAUAGGUUGAGUCCUGUAGAUGAUGUUCUAUUCAGAAAAAUAAUGCAGUGAGGAUUUUGCUUGAUGCAGAUGUGGUUGUUACUCUGCCCAGGUUCCCCGUGGUCUUUACAGUUUAUCAAGGUUGCACAUCCCUCCUAAACACCCUGUGUAAUUUUGCUUCUCAUAGCCACUCUGUGCCUCUUCUUGCAUGGGCCUGUUUGGGCCUCCUGAAGUUUGAAGUAACUUUGCUUUUUUUCAUCUCCUCUCCCAUCACCAGACUCAAUUCUGGCUGCAUCCCCUGUCAGAAAAAUGAAGAAGGCAAAAACCAGGUGCACCACUUGAAGUUUUAUCUGUUGGAAGGAUUUUCCUUCACUACUGUGCUCCUGGGAUGCGCUAGAUUAAAACAAAACCCUUUGAGGUGGUGCCUAUACAUCCUACAGAACCCUCUGUAAAUCAGACCUAUGUUCUCUCUUCCUCUGUGAACUGAUUUUAGGGGACACUUCAUGAGACCAUAGCGGCAGCAAAGAGAAAGCUUCUCAGAAAACUGAACUGGUUCCUGGAGAGCAGAUUCACUGUGCGCUGGCUGCCAUUUCAUCUCAUUGCAACUUGAACUACAAAUUCUACUACUUACAAGAGUCUGAUGGAUGGAGCAUUGAAGCAACAAGCUAAGGCUAAAUGGAGCAACUUUACUAUUCACAGGUAGACGGAAGGUACAGUAGAAGCCUUGGAUUCACAGUGAACCAGCUGCCCAACUUGCAUAUGGGUUGCCAGUGUUGCAAGCAGUGGCUUUACUCACUAUGCCACAACACUAGUCUGUACAAUUGUUGUUGCAAAAUCCAAGAAAGAAAGGAAGGUUGGACCCACAUGUCUUACUCUUCCAAACUAAAUACAUUACUCCCUGAAGGUAUAAUACAGACGCUAGUCACCUUUAUGCCUAUUACAAGAACACAGUUAUUUUCCUUUAUUCCAUCAACAGACCUUUAUUAAGACAUAUUAAGACAUGGGUAAAUAAGGUAUUGAUCUUACAUUCCAAAUCAAUAAAAGCAUUUAAUCAGCGGUUGCCACAAUAAUGCUGAUACUAAAAAUAACCUCAAAAUAUCAAAUAAUCACCAUAGCACUCAUUUUUCCCCUCACUCUUCAGUGUGGGAGCAUGAAGUUUAGCUGAUUUUGACUGUACUCAGUAGCACUCAGCUCUUAACUGCUUGUCUGCUCCAUGUGCCUGGUUCAGAAGCCUGGUAGAGUAGGCAGCAUCUCCCACAGUGUGUCUGCCCAUGGUGACUGCAGAGCAGACACAACCACACAAACACCGUUCAAGUCUCUGCUUGUGUCAGAGCUUACUGAUGUUCAAUGGGAAAAAUCAAGUUAUAUGCCAAGGAAGGAAGGGCUGGGAUGUACCCACAUUCUAUUAUGAGAUGCUGUGAGAACAGAGAUUUUCUGCACUGGAGGAAUGGAUAAAGAUGACAAAUUCAAUCCACCACAGUCUGUAUUUAUCCAUUGUAUGAAAAGAUAUGUAGAAGAUAUGAAAAAACGAACAUUUUCCCAAGUAAAGCAUUUUUUAAAGGAGGUGACGGUAUUGCUGACUUUUUAGGUUAGCUAUUUUCUAGGCAUUGCAGGCAGAGGAGUACAUUGUGGAAACAGAAGCUGCUGUUUGCGAGAUACUUGGACAGAUGCUUCAUGUCAUGGGAUGGACAGUGCAGUAUCAAUGGGAAAGGAUGGAGCCAGAGAUGCACCUAAUCCUGAAUUUGUAAACAACAGACAAUAAGGUUUAUUUCAGUUUUCUUUUAAGUUAACGAGAAUGUUUAAU